rnacentral:rRNA from 1 species
UACGAAGGGGGCUAGCGUUGUUCGGAAUUACUGGGCGUAAAGCGCGCGUAGGUGGCUUCGUAAGUCCGUUGUGAAAGUCAAAGGCUCAACCUUUGAAAGCCGAUGGAUACUGUGAAGCUAGAGUACGGAAGAGGCGAGUGGAAUUCCUGGUGUAGCGGUGGAAUGCGCAGAUAUCAGGAGGAACACCAAUAGCGAAGGCAGCUCGCUGGGACGUUACUGACACUGAGGCGCGAAAGCGUGGGGAGCGAACAGG